rnacentral:rRNA from 1 species
AUGGCGGACCCUGCGGCGGCGGCGGCGCCCAUGACCAUCGACUUCCUCCGGGCGCGCCUGCUCUCCGAGCGCUCCGUCUCCCGCGCAUCCAAGGAGCGCGCCGACCAGCUCGCCGCCAGGGUCGCGGAGCUGGAGGAGCAGGUGCGGGCGGUGACGGCGCAGCGGCGGCAAGCGGAGCGGGAGGCCGCGGAGGUGCUGGCAGUCCUGGAGUCCCGGGGCUUCUGCGGCAGCCUCUCGGACGUGCUCGACUCGGGCUCCGACGACGCCGAGGAGGAGGAGCGGGACGAGCCAUGCGACGCCACGGUCACCGGCGGCGAUCCUGCGCCCCGCUCCCACGGCGAGGAGGGACCGGAGCAGGAGCAGGAGCAGCCGCCAGCGAAGGGCGAAAGGAAGGAGGAGGAGGACGCGACUUCCGGGACGGCGCUGCAGCCCGGCGGGCUGUCGUGGAAAGGGCGGUGCGCCAGCCCGCGGAGGGCCAGGCAGCUCAAGCAGCGGCACCGCCGGAGCUACGUCUACUUCCUGGCCUCGCAGUCGGACCCCUCGCCCAAGUACCGGAUGGGCCAGUCCUGCCGGAAGAACAAGCGCAAGGAGCUCAGUAGCGUUGCUGCCGUGGUCGCGGAGAGUCGGAAGGAACAGCGAGACGGACCGCGUUGCGCCGAUGAUGAUGGCCGGACCGAGUUUGACGGCGAGGUGGGCGGAGACGACCGGCGGAGCUCGGGGGACGGUGGUGGUCAGUACGUGAUGAGGCGCGACGAUGGUGACGGGGAGAUGGAGAGGGUGCUGGAGAAGCAGGCCGAGCUGAUCGGGCAGUACGAGGCCGAGGAGAAGGCUCAGACCGACUGGGAGAAGAAAUUCAACGACACCCGGAGCUCACCCAACAAGGGUGAUGUCGAGGCAGAUUGCCAUUUACAGACGAAAUCAGGUGGUGAAAAACUCGUCGUUUCCAGACCACCCAAGAAUUCAUCAGAAGAAAUGGCGCCGACCCCUGCCAUAUCAGCACAAGGAAGCUCCAGCUAUAGCACGGCCACAAGACGAAGCCAAGACCAGCAAGGAGACGCGAACUCAGACGGCUGCUCGAGCCGAUACACGACCUCCGCGUCAUCGUCCGGGCUCGGCGCCGUCAAGGCGCCAUCGGAGUCGAGCCCGUCGGUCAGCAAGGUCUCGGACUGGAGCUCGUCACGCUUCCACGACCACGCCGACGAUCAGCAGGGCAACAUCGAUGUGGAGAGCGUUCUCCAGGCCCUGCAGCGCGCCAGGAUCUCCCUGAGGCAGAAGCUGGACAGGCCGCUCCCGCCCAGCCAGGUGACGCUGGCGCUCCCGGCGCCGGGUGAUGAGUACCGUACCGACCUCUACAACGACGACGACGACGGCAGCAGUUCCUACAGGGAUGGACACGUUGGGUCGAGCCCGUCUCGGCAGGAAAUACUGGCCCUCCCAGCGCCGGAGGACUACCAUGGUUACCAUGACCAUGGAAGCGCAAACUGCUCGACCGAUGGCGCCGAUACUGCACUCUCGGAGAACCCGAGCCCACCUCAGCAGGAGAUCCUGGCUCUCCCGGCCCCGGGCGACGACGAUGGCGACGGAGAGGACGAGGUGAAGGUCCCCGUCGGCAGUCCGGGCCUGUUCCGGCUGCCGACAGACUCAUUCCCAAAGGACGAGACGCUGCCAGCAAUUAGUAACGGGCACGAUGCAGAGCUCAGGUCGAUUGAGGUUGUGGCUGCUCGACACGACACAUACAGAGAUGAUGAUGGUGCUGGGGUUUCAGCUUCAGCGAAGCAGUUGUAUGAUCCUCCUACUUCUGGUAGGUGCAAUGUUCCACCGGGCUCAGGCUUCGUCUCCGGGAUCCCAGGACUGCCGGAAGACCUGAGGAAGGGAGGAGGUCCUCUUGGAGACGCGGACCCGUUCAUGCAGCCGCGGCUGCAUGAUUACACCAUUUCUAACAAGUUGAUGCUGUAG